GAUGAACGCUGGCGGCGUGCCUAAUACAUGCAAGUCGAGCGAACGGACGAGAAGCUUGCUUCUCUGCUGUUAGCGGCGGACGGGUGAGUAACACGUGGAUAACCUACCUAUAAGACUGGGAUAACUUCGGGAAACCGGAUCUAAUACCGGAUCAUAUUUUGAACCGCAUGGUUCAAAAGUGAAUGACGGUCUUGCUGUCACUUAUAGAUGGAUCCGCGCUGCAUUAGCUAGUUGGUAAGGUAACGGCUUACCAAGGCAACGAUGCAUAGCCGACCUGAGAGGGUGAUCAGCCACACUGGAACUGAGACACGGUCCAGACUCCUACGGGAGGCAGCAGUAGGGAAUCUUCCGCAAUGGGCGAAAGCCUGACGGAGCAACGCCGCGUGAGUGAUGAAGGUCUUCGGAUCGUAAAACUCUGUUAUUAGGGAAGAACAUAUGUGUAAGUAACUGUGCACAUCUUGACGGUACCUAAUCAGAAAGCAACGGCUAACUACGUG
rnacentral:rRNA from 1 species